CACGACGUAAUGCAUUAAUGGAAGUACAAAUGCCAGUGAUUAAGAACGCCGAAUGCAAAAUAGCUUAUUCCAAAUUUCCUAAUGCACCUGAUAUCACUGAUGGUAUAAUAUGCGCCGAACAUGCUCAGGGUGGAGAGGAUUCUUGUACGGCUGACCGCGGCGGACCACUGCUGAUACAACAUGAAUUAACCUCGUAUUUAAUAGGUAUUGUGUCUUAUGCUUAUAAGUGCGGCACAGCUGGUUAUCCCAGCGUUUACACUAGGGUCACAUCGUACCUUGACUUCAUUCUCCAAGCGAUGCAAUAAUAUGAUAUUACUGUUCCAUAAAUAUCAUUGUGUAAAAAACGUAAAGUUGGAUUUUCUUAUUGUGGAGAUAAGAAACAGCUCAAAUUUACAUUGUUUUGUACGUUACAAAUUAUAGGCUUAAAAUGUACGAAAUGUAACUUUGAAACGACACUAAUUUUUUACGCACGAUAAACCUCCACGACUUAGAUUAUAGAUUCCUAUACGACUCUCAGUAAAAAUUUAUCCGCACUCCAGAUAGUUAAAACUUCUGUCGACCGUAUUGAUCCAUCUGCACUCUUCGUAUGACGUCAAUAUCUGUUCAGUGCUGCUG